rnacentral:misc_RNA from 1 species
GAAAUGCGAUAAGUAGUGUGAAUUGCAGAAUUCAGUGAAUCAUCGAAUCUUUGAACGCACAUUGCGCCCCUUGGUAUUCCAUGGGGCAUGCCUGUUCGAGCGUCAUUUGUACCUUCAAGCUUUGCUUGGUGUUGGGUGUUUGUCUCGCCUCUGCGCGCAGACUCGCCUCAAAACAAUUGGCAGCCGGCGUAUUGAUUUCGGAGCGCAGUACAUCUCGCGCUUUGCACUCAUAACGACGACGUCCAAAAAGUACAUUUUUUACACUCUUGACCUCGGAUCAGGUAGAGAUACCCGCUGAACUUAAGC